GUUUACAUUUUGAUAUUUGAUUUUUUUUAAUCAACCGUGUAUUAGUUUUACACCUAGUCUGCUAAUUUAAUAUUAUAUAACUGUUUAUGAUUAGGAAUCAUCAGUUCUUACAAGGUUAAUAAGUUUGAGUCUGGUUGAUGUCAAUCCACGAAGCACCAUGCUUGUUUAACCCAUCAAGUCCAUUAUCAUUAUCAUUGUGAGGCCUAAACUACUUCAUGUUUGUUCUUGUUCUUAAAUAGUCUUUUCAUGGGAUGAAGAUUCACCACUGAAGUCAUUAAUCAUUGACUGCUACGUUGCGACUUUUAUGUCCACAUAAUAACUGCAAUAGGCGAAAUCGAUUUCAAUCUUGUUGCAGACACCAAUAAUCAGCUCAUCAUUCUCACCUCUUUAUUCAAGAGGAUCCACAAUACCUUUGAAUCAAAACAUCACAAAAAUUAACAACAAUUACAAAUCAGGAUUAAUUCACCAUUAAUCUAAUACUUGUUGUCCACAAAUACUUUCGAUUUCAUUCUUAUACGUUAAAAACGAAUUUUCGUAUAAGAUACAAACUAACUAGACAAAUAUGAAAAUAAAUGGAUCAGAUUUCUGGCUUGGAUUCUCUAAAAAAGAGAAUGUUUAAAUAGCGCACAGUAUAAUCAAAUUCGAUCAUCUGGGGAAAUAAUCAUCACUUCCAUCCCUUUCCCUAUUAAUACCUAGUAAAUAAACGAACUCCAGGAAAUUAAAAUCCGAAAAUUACUUUCGUCUUAAAAUACAGAUCCAAAAGACUCAAAAACAACAUAAUAACGAGAAACAGAAGUUUAAAUCAUUGAUCAGAUAAUUGUAGUCUGGAAGUAUUUUUAGAUCGACAUUGUGUUUUCCGACAACUUGCUCAUCACCUCAAUGACAAAAACUAAAAUCAAUUGCAUAUUAUAGAGGCAUAAAUUAAAUAAAAAAUAAAAUUAAAAAAAAACACAGAGAGAGAUAGUAGGAUGCUCAGAAGGAUCCAUUGGUUGUUUCUAAUCACGAGCAGAAAAUCAAGUUUUCCCUCAUAAAAUAGGUAGAUUUAAUCAUCACAGCAUCUCUACGAUUAUUAACUAAAAGAAAAAACGAAACCAAGUUACCUGGAAUCUGGUAUGCGAUGGGGAUUUAGAAUCAAUGGGUUGUGUGUGUUUAUAUAUGCGUUUCUGUAAGCGGCUGUAA
rnacentral:lncRNA from 1 species